AUUCCUCGGGCAGGCUAAAGCCCAGCAGGGAGGCCCCGCAGCAGAAUCACCCUCAAGGACGCUGGCUCCGUGCUGCUGCCGGGGCUGGCUCGGCAGUGCUGCCUGGCGUCAACAGCAGCACCUCCUCCUAGGAGAUGAGCUGAUGCUGGCUGGGAGACCCCACAAGGCCACGUGUGUAAAGGCACCCGGGUGGGUGGGUGGCACAAAAAGGCAGGUUGAGGCAGGACAUCUGGUCAGUCUUCUCACCGAACUUGGACAUUCAGCUCCGUGGUUCCACUGCUCACCGGAGUGCAGAGUCCCAGGACGGGGAGAUGGUGCAGGAGGAAGAGCUGCAGCCACUGCCUGGGAUGGCAGAACCUUCCCACCCAGACCGCGGCGGCGCCACUGCCAGGAACCUCCAUAACCCUCACCGCUCUCUCGGAGGGAGCAUCUUCUUAGCUGUCCUCUAUCGCUCUGUGGAUGCAGCCUCCCUUCUGGAUGAGUCAAGCUGAUCCUUCAAGUGCCACACGAUGGGUGGCUCUGAUACUCGCAGGCUGGGCCUCCCAGCAUCCACGGAGCCUGGAAAACGGCCCCAAAGAGGCAAGCUGCUUUUCUCUCACGGGCUGACAGCUCAGAGCCUUGCGAUCCCAGAAGGUGUCACCAGAGGCCUAGUGUGCUGCCUCGUGCAACAUGGAGGGCCUUGUUUUCUGGGCCUGCGAGGGACCCUCUUUCAUCAGGAGAGGGCCUGCCUGCAGCCACCUGCCGCUCCCAGCCCUCAGCACAAAAGGCCCGUUGACCGCAUGAUGUGGGGAAUAUGCAUUCGGAGACAAAGGACGUCUGGACAGAGGCUCAUUUUCCGCCUCCAGAGUCUACAUUCGAAAAGUGCCCUUUAAAAGGGCCCCGCAGAUGUCUUCCAAGCGCCCUUAUCAGAUGGGACCAGGAUCAAUGAAAAUCCACCACUCACAGCCCUUCUACAUUUUCCAAAACCGCAGUCCCUGGUCCUGGUCGUCUUCUGUGGGUCUCAGAACUCAGGGAACACAACCUCCCAUCUCGGCCCUCCCAGGCCCCCUGUCAUUGAGGCCUUGGUGCCUUUCUGGCCCCACUGCCUGUGCGGGGCACUUCUAGAAAUGGAGAAAUAGGAAGUUCCACAGGCAAGGACCUCCCCUCUCUCCCUGGAAAGCAGCGUCUGGUCCAGCCGAGGAAGGGCAGGGUCAGCACCCGUAUGGGCCUGGGAGCUGUGUGGUGAGGGGCCGACGUGCUGGAGAAGCAAGAGGUGCGGGGGACAAGGAUUUGAGAGCCCCUGGCACAUGAAGCUGUAUUCUCCUCUGCUGUUGAAACUUGGGAUUUCAGCUCUACCCAGAGCACAAAGGACAUUUGUUUUCAAACAAAAAUAUCCUUGUUUGUGCCAGGGAAAGAUGGAAAAUUUUAGUUUAUAUUAAACACGCCUUUGAAGACUCA